rnacentral:tRNA from 1 species
GCCUGGGUGGCUCAGUCAGAGUAAGCGUCCGACUUCGGCUCAGGUCAUGAUCUCACGGUUCGUGGGUUCGAGUCCCACAUCAGGCU